CCGGGUGAGUAACACGUAUCCAACCUGCCGUCUACUCUUGGCCAGCCUUCUGAAGGAAGAUUAAUCCAGGAUGGCAUCAUGAGUUCACAUGUCCGCAUGAUUAAAGGUAUUUUCCGGUAGACGAUGGGGAUGCGUUCCAUUAGAUAGUAGGCGGGGUAACGGCCCACCUAGUCAACGAUGGAUAGGGGCUCUGAGAGGAAGGUCCCCCACAUUGGAACUGAGACACGGUCCAA
rnacentral:rRNA from 1 species